UACGAGAGGCCCAAACGUUAUUCGGAUUUACUGGGCUUAAAGAGUUUGUAGGCGGUUCGUCAAGUGAGGUGUGAAAGCCCUCGGCUUAACCGAGGAAUUGCGCUUCAAACUGUCGGGCUCGAGGGAGAUAGAGGUGAGCGGAACUGAUGGUGGAGCGGUGAAAUGCGUUGAUAUCAUCAGGAACACCAGAGGCGAAGGCGGCUCACUGGGUCUCUUCUGACGCUGAGAAACGAAAGCUAGGGGAGCAAACGGG
rnacentral:rRNA from 1 species